rnacentral:rRNA from 1 species
UUGGAGGGCAAGUCUGGUGCCAGCAGCCGCGGUAAUUCCAGCUCCAAUAGCGUAUAUUAAAGUUGUUGCAGUUAAAAAGCUCGUAGUUGAAUUUCGGGAUCAAUGUUUCGGUCAUGCCGUUGGUAUGUACUGAUAUUAUUGGUUUCUCACCUUCUAAAGAACCGUAAUGCCAUUAAUUUGGUGUCACGGGGAAUUAGGACUGUUACCUUGAAAAAAUUAGAGUGUUUAAAGCAGGCUCACGCUUGAAUACAUUAGCAUGGAAUAAUGAAAUAGGACAUCCGAUUCUAUUUUGUUGGUUUCUAGGAUCGAUGUAAUGAUUAAUAGGGAUAGUUGGGGGCAUUAGUAUUCAAUUGUCAGAGGUGAAAUUCUUGGAUUUAUUGAAGACUAACUACUGCGAAAGCAUUUGCCAAGGAUGUUUUCAUUAAUCAAGAACGAAAGUUAGGGGAUCGAAGACGAUCAGAUACCGUCGUAGUCUUAACCAUAAACUAUACCGACUAGGGAUCGGAUGAUGUUAAUUUUUUAAUGACUCAUUCGGCGCCUUAUGGGAAACCAAAG